rnacentral:rRNA from 1 species
UACGUAGGGUGCGAAGCAGUUGUUCCGGAAUUAUUGGGCGUAAAAGAGCUCGUAGGCGGUCUGUCACGUCGGACCUGGUGAAAACCCGAGGCUCAACCUCGGGCCUGGCAGUCGAUACGGGCAAACUAGAGUACUGCCAGGGGAGACUGGAAUUACCUGGUGUAGGCGGUGAAAUGCGCAGAUAGUCAGGAGGAACACCGGUGGCGAAGGCGGGAUCUCUGGGGCAAGUAACUGACGCUGGAGGAGCGAAAAGCGUGGGGAGCGAACAGG